rnacentral:lncRNA from 1 species
GCUGUUUGCCAAAAACAAAAAUAGAGUGUUCUGCUUACAAGGAUUCAAAAUGUGGACACGAAAAUAACAAGGAAGUACGGAUCGAAAGCAAAUCUUAUUCAGCGCCCAUUCAGCAGCACGCGACCGUUAAUGGGCUGGGCAAGUGAACUCGGACGGGCACGUCUUGCCGCAGUGGUCGAGGAGGAGCCUGAUGUCCACGUGCACGUCGAGGUGGAUGCCGAGGACGUUGGCCCUGACGGCGGUGCAGAGGCAGACGGCGGCAUCAAGGUCGACCAACCCCUGCAGCAGCGGGCAGCACUCGUCGCGCGCCGGAACGCCGACCUUGAGGUCGAGCAGGCCGCCGAGAACGUUGGCGCACACCCUCAGCUUCAGCGCGUCGAUGGAGCACUGCCCGACGUGGCCUCCGUGGUACGGCGGCGGAACGACAACGGGCGGCGUCGGCACGACGACUGGCGGCUGGCAAUAGGGUCCGCAGC